rnacentral:rRNA from 1 species
GACGAACGCUGGCGGCGUGCUUAACACAUGCAAGUCGAGCGGUAAGGCCCUUUCGGGGGUACACGAGCGGCGAACGGGUGAGUAACACGUGGGUGACCUGCCCUCAGCUCUGGGAUAAGCCCGGGAAACUGGGUCUAAUACCGGAUAUGACUCCAUGACGCAUGUUGUGGGGUGGAAAGCCUUGUGCGGCUGAGGAUGGGCCCGCGGCCUAUCAGCUUGUUGGUGGGGUGAUGGCCUACCAAGGCGACGACGGGUAGCCGGCCUGAGAGGGCGACCGGCCACACUGGGACUGAGACACGGCCCAGACUCCUACGGGAGGCAGCAGGUGGGGAAUCUUGCGCAAUGGGCGAAAGCCUGACGCAGCGACGCCGCGUGAGGGAUGACG